rnacentral:rRNA from 1 species
UACAGAGGUCUCGAGCGUUAAUCGGAAUUACUGGGCGUAAAGCGUGCGCAGGCGGUUUCUUAAGUCAGAUGUGAAAGCCCCGGGCUUAACCUGGGAACUGCGUUUGAAACUGGGAGACUUGAGUGUGGCAGAGGGGGGUGGAAUUCCACGUGUAGCAGUGAAAUGCGUAGAUAUGUGGAGGAACACCGAUGGCGAAGGCAGCCCCCUGGGUUAACACUGACGCUCAUGCACGAAAGCGUGGGGAGCAAACAGG